rnacentral:rRNA from 1 species
CCUGCAUACCCUGGCCUCAAGGCAUCAAAUCCCAUCUGAUAUUGGAAGCUAAGCAGGAUCAGCCUUUAUUAGUACUUGAAUGGGAGACUGCCAAUGAAUAACAGGUAAUCUAGGC